UUUUGUUCAUGAUUUUAACUCCGUCGAGGAGAGAAACAGUGUUUCGUACUUUGUACCCUCUGUAAUGACGCAAUUCACUAGGAUGUUUGUAAAUUAUGCAAAUUUUGUAAUAUUUGUUCACUUUUGGAAACGUGGACAAAUAUUUAAACAGAAUUUAAUGGGUUACAAACACAAAAGAGUGAAGUAUUAUUAGUAACAAGAAUUAUUUACUUGUUAAACUGUUCCAGUAAAUUGUAGCUGCGUGAAAUGAGUGUGAAAUAAACAUUUCCCCCAGUUUUUCCCACUCGUGGCGAAUUUGUGCGAAAAAAUUUUGCAAUUUUAAGAAACACUGUCAGUCAUGAAAUCCUGUUCGAUUCCAUUAUUCAAGCAAGUCGUACUUCAAUGGGCCAUGCAUACGAAAUGUGCCCUCUGCUUUUGCACAAUUUCAUGUUCCACUCCCCAUCACCCCAAAAUAAUUGCAAACUUGUGCAAAAAAUAUUGCACCCCACCCUUUCUGCACGGCCGUCACCCUAUAAAUAUACUAUUUCUCUUUUAUCACGACUUUGUGCCCCUUUGUUCUCAGUGAUUCCUUUGUGCGACGAUUUGAUUUCAUGAUUUGAUUGAGCUCUACUCCGUCUCCUGAAUCAUUAUACGAUAUGAUUUACCACAUUUCAUCUCCUAUUGUCUUUUGCGAUAUCGUUAUCAUGCGUUCUCCUUACAAGCAACGCUCCCUGAUUUAAUGAGUUGCCAGAAUUUGAUGUCACACAAUGUACGGCACGAGGAAGUCGAGAAUUGUGGUUGAGUUGGCCAAAAUUAAUUCCCGAUAGUAAAUUCGUUACUAGAAAUUUUGGCAAAAUUUGUAUGGCUUAAUUUUAGCUACAGAGAAAGUACGUUGUCCAAUUAAAAUUAAAUAUGAGUCACAAAGGAGAAAUGAAAUCAUGGGCAAAAUAUCUACGUUACUACAAAUUUCUUGGGUUUUCUGCCAGAGGUGAAAUACCUACAGUGUGGGUUGGGGUUAUUGAAUUUGACCAUUUUUUGUGGUGUCAUGAUGAGAUCCGGAUCUUGACUUGAAGUUGAAGUUGAUUGUUUCGCCUUUGUUUUACAGACGUCAGGAGGCCUGCGGAAAAUCCAAGAAUUGCUGACACCCGAUUGUCCCGACAUUUUGAGGGAGCAUAUCCAACUCAUCAACUCCUGCUUUCCUCCCGACAUUGUGAACUACUUCUCGCCCGACUAUCCACAAACUCUACUCGAUCGGAUUGACCAGUACGCACCCACGCUCAAUAUUGACCCCUCACUCUGGACGGAAAAGCUGUUCUCCGACACUAAAAUCCCGACGGACGUGAAGGAAGAAAUUGUCGCCUUGCAGAAAUCCGUCUACGUCAAGAACAAGGAGCAGCAGCAGCCGGCACAAGCCAUUUCCGGUGCGAAUGAUCAAGACGGUGGUGCUGGGGGUCGACGCAGGUCAAACAAAUCCGGCACGGCUAUCAACAUGGGUGGCGAUGCGAAACCACCACUUCCAAUGUGAAAGAAAUUUUUUAACAAAAAGCGUGCCAAUUCUGUGUCAUAUAUAUUUAUGUACAUAUUAGUUUUUAAGCCAUUUUUAUGUAUAAGCAAAAUGUCAGAAUUGUAUUAAAACAAGCUAUUUUUGGGAAGGAAUUGAAAUAGGUUGCAAAUUCACAUCUGUAAUUGCAAAAAAUAGUAUAAAUGAAUAAAUUGUGAAAAAAAUGGUGCAUAUUUUUCCAUGUAUGAACUUAAAACUGGUUCAGAAUUUUUAAUUUUUUCAAGGUUUUUAAUCAUUUUAUAUAAGAAAUAAAAAUAUUGAAAUAAUGUAUGCUCUCGAGUUGAGAACUCACAUGAUGUCAUUCUAAUUUAAAAAAAUCAUGAUCUGUGCCCUGGCGCAGUGACCUUCCAUCUUUGAACUCGCCGUGUCCCAUGACUUUAAGAGUGCAUCUUGAAAGUUUCAAGUUUAUAUGUUUUUUUCGUUCACGAGUUACCAACGGACGGACACAACUGUCUUAUUUCUUAAUUCAGCACAAAGUUUCUUCUCCCGUAAUAAUACGAACUUUGAACUUAUGGAAAUGUCAUCCAAACUACAAAUUCAUUUCCGGUCUAACAAAGCUAUUUAGUAAUUGCAUUUCUGUUACGUUACCUAUUUGCAUUGAACCGAUUUAUUAUGCAUGCAUGCCAGCCGAGUAUGUACCUGAGUAAUGACACACACAUCCACUAAUGACAGACUUCCUGCCGCAAUUAUUUCCAUAAUAUUUGCACAUUUAGUUUUCCCACAUGUAGUUUUUUAUUGCCACUUCACUCGCCAAUUCUUACACAAAAGUAAUAAUUCAUCAUAUCGAGUCUUGGACAAGUAUUUAAUACUUUCAUAAAAUUAGCUCGCCUUAAAACCUACCUGCAUUUAGUGACCAAUUAGCUCAUCAUUAAUUAACAGCAGUAAAAAUAUUAACAGCAAACAGUUAAGAUGACAAUAUAUACAAUUAGGUACAAACCGUACACAUAAGGCAAAAAUAACAACAACGACGACGACGCAUCCAUUUUUUCUG